GAUGAACGCUGGCGGCGUGCCUAAUACAUGCAAGUCGAGCGAACGGACGAGAAGCUUGCUUCUCUGAUGUUAGCGGCGGACGGGUGAGUAACACGUGGAUAACCUACCUAUAAGACUGGGAUAACUUCGGGAAACCGGAGCUAAUACCGGCUAAUAUUUUGAACCGCAUGGUUCAAAAGUGAAAGACGGUCUUGCUGUCACUUAUAGAUGGAUCCGCGCUGCAUUAGCUAGUUGGUAAGGUAACGGCUUACCAAGGCAACGAUGCAUAGCCGACCUGAGAGGGUGAUCGGCCACACUGGAACUGAGACACGGUCCAGACUCCUACGGGAGGCAGCAGUAGGGAAUCUUCCGCAAUGGGCGAAAGACUGACGGAGCAACGCCGCGUGAGUGAUGAAGGUCUUCGGAUCGUAAAACUCUGUUAUUAGGGAAGAACAUAUGUGUAAGUAACUGUGCACAUCUUGACGGUACCUAAUCAGAAAGCCACGGCUAACUACGUG
rnacentral:rRNA from 1 species